CGGGUGAGUAAUACUUGGGCAAUCUGCCCUUAAGUAGGGGACAACCUGCCGAAAGGCGGGCUAAUACCCCAUAAGACCACAGGGAUGCAUAUUCCAGAGGUCAAAGCUCCGCAAGGGGCGCUUGAGGAGGAGCCCGAGUCCUAUCAUGGUAGUUGGCGGGGUAAUGGCCCACCAAGCCGUUGACGGGUAGCCGGCCUGAAAGGGCAAACGGCCACACUGGCACUGAGACACGGGCCAG
rnacentral:rRNA from 1 species